rnacentral:rRNA from 1 species
CGGGACGGGGUGAGUAAUGUCUGGGAAACUGCCUGAUGGAGGGGGAUAACUACUGGAAACGGUAGCUAAUACCGCAUAACGUCGCAAGACCAAAGAGGGGACCUUCGGGCCUCUUGCCAUCGGAUGUGCCCAGAUGGGAUUAGCUAGUAGGUGGGGUAACGGCUCACCUAGGCGACGAUCCCUAGCUGGUCUGAGAGGAUGCCAGCCACACUGGAACUGAGACACGGUCCAG